UAGUAUGUGUUAAACAUAAAUCGAAUUAUUCUUUCGCCUUUUACUAAAGAAUCUCGUGUGCUUGACGCAAAUAGUGGCAUAUGCCUAUUUUUAGAAGAGACUUCCUCUUUGAGGUU